AUAAUAAUUUUAUGCAAUUAAAUAAAGUCUCCGAGGAAAUUAUUCAUUUCAUCCUCCUUCGUAUUCAAUUUCAAUCGCUCGGUGUUUUCUUCUUUCAAUCGAGGUUUGGUUUUGACAGGGCCAUGGCUUUCAUCGUUGCAAUGGGUAUCAUUAUCGUCGGUAUCGCGGCAAUAUUUAUUCGCGUCGUCUAUGUUGUUCACAGAACCGGAAAACCUCUGAAACCCAGAGGCAAAGCUUCACGACCUUUCAGUACGCUUAUUGUCUUAGGUUCAGGGGGACAUACCGCCGAGAUGUUGAACGUCUUGCAAGUGCUGCAGAAAGACAGGUUUAGUCCGAGAGUCUACAUUGCUGCUGCUACUGAUAAUAUGAGUCUUCAGAAAGCUCGCUUGUUAGAGAGCUCCUUGGCUAAAGAGGCUGGAGAGAAGGUUGUUAAGGCUUCACAGUUCCUGCAGAUAUAUCGAAGUAGGGAAGUUGGCCAAUCAUAUUUGACUUCUGUAUGGACAACUUUAGUUGCGAUUGCUCAUGCACUAUGGAUAAUGAUUAGAAUAAGACCUGAAGUGAUUCUCUGCAAUGGUCCUGGGACCUGUAUUCCACUUUGCAUUAUUGCAUUCUUAUUUAAGGUUGUGGGGAUUCGAUGGUCAUUUGUUUUCUAUGUUGAGAGUAUAGCUAGAGUGCAAAGGCUCUCUCUAAGUGGUUUUAUUCUUUAUAAGUUACAUAUUGCAGAUCAGUUCUUCGUGCAAUGGCCACAGUUGCAAAGAAAAUAUCCCCGGGCUCACUAUGUUGGUUGUCUUAUGUAGUUGAUCGAAUUUUGAUGCCCCAAUGCUACUUUCACUUUACUCCCUAGGCUUCACAAUAUAAUCCAUUAAAUCUGGUAUCUCAUGGGACUUACCAGGCUUCUACAUGUUCUGCUGAUGGCCUACUUAUACAAUGAAUUAAGGCAUGCAUGUGCUGGACCACUAGUUAUCCUUCCUCAUGAAGAGGAGCAUGUUUAUUACUUUCCAAAGGGUCACAUGGAACAGCAAAGUGAGGUUACAAGCCCAGAUCAUCCACUCCCACCUUCUCCAAGGUGCACUGUCCAUUCGUUUUGCAUGACCCUUGCUGCUUCUGACACAAGCACUUAUGAUGGAUUUUCUGUCCUCCAUAGGCAUGCAGAUGGUUAUCUCCCAACACUGGUAGUUUGAACUAUAUUAUUUCCUUGAUUGUAAUAGACUAUAUAUCUUUGUCACUAAUUCACUCUCCCUUGUCGGGAUGGUAGAUGGAUCUGUUGCUCUUUUUCUGAGUGCCUCUUUAAGUUUGUUUCAUUCAGGAUAUGUUCCAGCUGCCUCCAUGGCAAGAAUUGGUUGCGACUGAUUUGCACAGAAAUGAAAGGCAUUUUUAUCACAUAUUUUGCAGUUGACCAGUUUACUUUGAUUUGUGAUACAGCAUUCCUUUAGAUCGUUGGAGAUGGAGAUUAUUGUAAAUUCCUUUUCGUCCCAAAAAGUCACAGGAAGCAUGUUGAUUACAGGACAACCUAGACGUCACUUACUCACAACUGGGUAUAGUGUUGUUGUUAGUUCCAAAAAGUUAGUGGCUGGUGAUGCUUUUAUUUUCCUAAGAGGUGAAAAUGGAUAGCUACAUGUUUGAGUUAGGAGGCUCAUUUGACAACCAAACAAAAUGCCAUCUUCUGCUAUUUCUAGCCAUAGCCAUGCAUCUUGGGGUUCUAGCUACUGCAUCUCUUGCCAUUACUCCUGGAACCAUAUUGUUUGCUUUGUAUUUUGUUAUAUUCUUGUGUUUUGGGACAUAUUUCUUGGACCAUAUCUUUAUUUGCUGAUACAUACAUUGGUUGGUUGUUGGAUGAGAUCUUUUUAGGAGUGUUGAGCCAUUUUAAAAAUUUGAUGUGAGUUUCAAAGGAAGAAAACAGAGGAAGUGGCAUGAGGUUUUUAUUAAUAAUGUAGAUCAUUUCACAAUUGCUAUGCUUUUCAAGGUGAAUUUUAGUUAUGAUCGCAUGACUGUUCCUUCACCAUAUAUUUUACUUGAUUAUUGCAUCAAAAAAUAUGUGGUGAGAAAGAUUAGAAACCUAGACCCUCUUUUAGCUAUUGAUUUCAUACUUGAGGAGGCAUGCCAUAUACCUGAUAGUUUUGUUUGUUGUCAUAUAAUUUAGGCAAUAGUGCAGUUUAAUAGAGUGACUACAAAUCAUGAAGUUAUUUUAUAAGAUUAUCUAGUAUAUCUUGUAUUUCUUCUUGGUCUUCUUUAUGGAACCUUUCAUUGAUUUCAUAUUUAAAGCAAGCAUACCAUAAACCUGUUGUUAUGUUUCUAGAUUUUAUUUAAAUCAGGUAAUGAUAUACUUUCUUGAUGCAGUGGUCUAAUGGUUGAUUUAGCUUCAUGAAGUUAUUCCAUGAGAUGGAUUAGAUUUUCGUUUGGGAAGCUUUGGUUUUCUUCUUUUCUAUGUGAUUAUGAAAUGAAUUCAAAUGCAUUCAUGUCCAGAACCUGCUAACAAAAAUUUUGUCACUGCAAAAAUAGAAAAAAUUUUGAAAUUUGACAUGCAACUGAACUAUUGACUUAGCUACUCUUUGCUAUAUAAAUUGAUAGUAGGAUUAGUGCAGAAAAUUAUCCCUUCUAGUGCACCCUUUCUCAAUUCCAUGUCCUUAAACGUUGACGUUAAGAAAAAGAAGAAAACUGCCAAAUGAUGUUUGAGUUGAAGUUCUUAAAACUUCUUACCUUAUCAAAAUUCUAUAUUUUAAUAUUCAUAUUUAUAUUUAUAAAAAAAUUUAUAGCGUGGAUAAUCCGCAUUAUGGUGUGAUGCAGAUUUCAAUAUUGAUGAUGGUUUUCUGUCUGAUGUCAUUAACGAAGUUUUUUUAAAACUAUCAUUAAUAUUAAAGUUCAUAUGACAAAAACAUGCAAACAUCUGCAUCAUAGACGGAUUCUAUAAUUAUAUAAUUAUAUAUGUAUAUAUAUUUGGAUUUAGGAUUUAUAUGACAUUAUAAAUUAGAUAUGGCUAUAUGCUGUACAGGAAGCUGCAUGUGUGGAAGAAAAUAGGGGGAAAAUCAAUGGUGUAUUUUAGAAGAAAAAGAGGCUAAGAGCCAAGGAAGAACACUCCAUCCAAUGGUUUGCAUGGAUAAUGCAGUUUACCAAGCAAUUCAUAAUCAAACACCUAAAUUUAUUUUGGCGUUGCGUGUGCCAAUAAAUUGUUUGUUGGUUUUAAAUUGCUCGUUACUACGAGUUAUAUGAGAUGAUGGGGUGUGACAGUUAUAUUUAAUAUUUUUCUUAUUUUAUUUUUUAUUUUUUGGGUAUCUA